GCGGCCGUAGUCUAGCCUGGUCUAGGACAGGAACAGCCCGCGCUUCUAACCCGGGUUCAAAUCCCGGCGGCCGCACCA
rnacentral:tRNA from 1 species